rnacentral:lncRNA from 1 species
CCUCUUACUCUAAUUGAAGACAAGCCACAGGAAAAUCUCUAGGCGCCUCUUCAAGUGAGAUGGCAGACCACCUCAGGAUGGAAAUGUAUUUCUUCACCCCUCUGUCUACUUCCCUGUGACCUCCUGCAAAUAAGGGAGAGAUGAAGAGAAGAGCAGAAGAACAGCAGAAUGGAGUGGCAAAUAGACGAGGAGUGUCUGAACAUUGACAAGACUUUGGCUGGGGAUGGUCAGAGAGGAGAUUAGCUGCUAGACACCCACACUGCAGGGAAAGAUCAUUUUCCCACUCCAUCUCCCUUCCAGCUCCCCAUCCAUCUCACCAAGAGCCAGCUCCUCCGCUCAAUAAAACCUUACAUUCAUC